UGGCAAAUUUGACAAGGAAACAAAUUAUAAAUCCACAGUGUGUUUGACUUGAAAACUUCAAUAUAAUAAAUCCAAACCAAGUAGAUUCCAUUGCUUGUUUUUGUCAAUAUCAUUACGUAACAAACAGAAAGACAUCUGGAAGCUUUGUUCACGUCCUACCAUUUUAAGCAUUAAGUAUUAAAGCCGGAUAUUCCGCCUUUUUACUCUGACGUAACCUAACUGACACAGUGCUCCCCGAAUAAGCGCUUCCAUUGAACAUGAUUGACAGCGAUAUUGGCCAAUGAGCGUUCGAGCUCCGGCAGCUAUGGCGUCUGUGCCCCGUCUGCUGAUUUGCAACCCGCCGAAACAGGAUCGGUGAAGAAGGAGACCUUCGAUCGGUUCGCCAUGGACUGUUCUAGGAUCAGUACGGUUUAAAUACGACUCUAACCAUAGAGCGAUACAAAUUUGCAUUUAAAAAGCUGUUCGUCAUUGUGCUUGUGAGAAAAAGAUGGAUCCAUCUGCUGGUAUGCACAUGUCUGCUGUUCCCCAGAACACUGAUAUCGUCCACGUCUCUGUCGGGAACCCCAUUAUAACCAUGUAUCAGCCACAACCGCAGCCUCCAAACAUCGCACAAAUCAUUGCACAGCACGUGGUACCUCAAGAAGUCUCCUGUCACGCUGUACCGCACACGAUCCCAUCGCACGUCCAGAUGCAAACUCACAUCCAGACUCAGUCACACAUCCAGCCAGCUCCACAUCUGCAGACUCCACUGCAAGGCCACGUGGAAGCACAGGUGCAUAUUCAGACCCAAGACCACUUAUCAACACAAGGUCCAUCAGAAGGCCAGAGUGCCGCGCCGUCUCAAGAUGGUGCAGUGAACUCACUGCAGGUUCCUUUUGCAGAGGUAGCCUCCCUCCUGGACCCUAACAUGAAGAGCUCAAAAGCCCGCAAGUAUCAGAUCCAUUACGAAGAGGUGAAGAGGAGACUGGAGUCGCCUGAGAAGAUGUCUCUCCGAUCUCUAGCUGCUUAUACAAGAGUGAGUCGAGGUCCAGCUAGUAAGAAAACACUCUUAGAGUCCCUAAAUGUCUUUGGACUGUCACCAAGCACCAAUACAGCAGUGUCCAGUUCCUUUUCUAAACUAACUGAAGGGGACACAGCUGCCCUGUGCAAAGACAUGAAGGAUUUUGCAAUGCAAUAUGUUGAUUAUGAGAAUAUGGCGAAACAAUUGCUACCAGAAACAAACCAAGUACAGCACUGGUCAAAAAUCAUUGAAACAAGGAACUAUCUAGGGGAGAUGCGGAAGACUUUUAAUGACCCUGUGAAUACACGUUUGUUCUCCAAUGUUACACAUGGUCUUGGUAACGGCAUGAUGGACGUGGCUCUCGAUAUCAUAGAUAACGUCAUCGACCGACAAAUCCGAAUCCUCUCAGGAAACACUGACCCCAAACCCGAACCUCCAGUGAGAAGAAUAAGGAAACGUAACCGCAAACCCAAAGCCACCACGGAAGAUGGCAAACCUAAAGAAAAGGGCAAAAGGGGACAGAAGAAAGGCAAACAGAUGCGGCUGGAUUCUGUUGUUCCUGAAGUUCAGCAGUCCUCAGAGAUGGAGAGCAGCGUGUUAACACUAGUCUCUGUAGGAUACGAAACCAUUUCCAGUGGACUCACCACCACCAAUCCAGGUCUUGUGUAACAUCACUGAGAGACACUGAUUUCAGAGUGCAGACAUUUUUCAUAGAAAGUUUUAGUUUUAUAAACAUUAGACUUCUCCUUCUCUCUGAAUAUAUUUUGGGGGUUUUUUCUCACAAACUGGUUGAUCAAGAAAAUAAUGUGGGUCUGAGAAGAUGUUUUGAUUUAUACUUUACCAAUCGUGUGUCGCUCUCAAUCUUUUGCUUUGUCAUUUGUGAUAAAGAAAAAUGUACACAGACAGUGUAUUGUUUUUUUAAAGCACUAUGUUAUAUCAUAUAUACCAAUUAUACCAAUAUCAGUUUCUCUUAGUCUCAUUUUAGGAUUUAAUCUCUGAAGUGUUAUUUGAUUCUGUUUUACUUAAUCCUACAAACCCCAAGCAAUUUAGUUUGAGUAAGAACAUAUCUUCUCUUAAUUUUUCAGACUAUUUAUUUCCUUUUUCUGUUUGUGUCUGAUAUGUGGUGUCUGUGAAUGACUGUAGCCUGUACUCUGUAAGUUUUGAAGAUUGUUCGUCAUGUGCUUGAAUUAAAAGCAUUACCUUUUUUAAACAGUUUGUAUACUUAUUUUUUUUUUUAUUGCUUGCAGAGCGUGAAAGGAUCCAAUCGAAUAAAAGCCUGAAAUGUAUUAAAUGGAUUUAAUGCAAUUGCUAUUGUACAUAUUUAUGUAAAUAUGCCCUUAACCCUAGCCCUUAAAUAAGCCCUUAACCCUAAGUAUUAACAUUUUAUAAGUGUUAAAAUUUGUUGCACCUUGCUUAUUUUCACAUUAUUUGAGACAUUUUUGAUAUGAUCCAGUAAUUAACAUGUAACAAUAUGUUUACAACUAUUCAUAACAGCUUUGCAACCACAUAGCAUCAUACUAGCAUUGUUGUGGCACAAUUAUUUCAGAACAUGUUAAAUUGUUUCAUUUAAUAACAUGUAGUUAUUGUAGUAAUUUUUCUGACUUAUGCGUUAGAUAACAAUAAUUGCUAAUUGGUUUGUUUUCAAUUAUGUUCACUUUGUAAUCUUUUGUAUUUUCACAAAAGAUUUCCCCACAAAUCCGCUUUUCUGAAUCCCUCGCGAAAAAGCAGAGAAAAUCCUCACCAUGGAGUCAGAUUUGUAGCUGAGCCAAUGAUAUUGUUUGUCUGUUUGUUGUUCCUCUCUCUCUUCUGGCCUCUAGGAGAUAUUUGAGGUGAGCCUUCUGCAGUUCAAAGUGUUUCCUACAGGUAUCCUGUCCACCGUGAGGCUUUUCAUCAGACUGAGGAUUUGGAGUGCAUUAGUGAAGGUCUGAAUCAGAGCAGGUGGUGGAGAGACAGGGAUUGAGGGGAAGAAAAUAAAUGUGAUGAGUGUGGGAGCGAGGAGUUUGUUUCGCAAACAUACACAGCCUGGAUAAGAGUGGAAAGAAUCUAUUGCACAGAUGUUGUAUUAUACAGAUACAAAGCAAGAGAUGGAGCAGUGUGAGAUUUUAGGUCAGAAACACAGUUUAGACUGCAGUGGUGAUCUGGGACACAAGCAGUGCUGAGAACUAACCAGGUCGUCACAAUCUCACAUAGACAUAUGGACAAGAUGGGAGCCAGUCGUCCACUACCCAAUGCGCCCAAAGGUAAGUAACAACAGGCACAAUGUGAAUACUGUCUGAAGGAUGUGCAUUUUUAUGUAUGUUAUCUUUUCUCAGAUUCACUAAGUACUGCAAUAGAGGCCAUCAGUGUGAGCACAGAACUCAUAGAGGAGGAACUAAAGCCAUAUUUAGACACAGUAUUGAAUGUUGCCAUAGAAAGAAGUGAGUAUUUAAAAUGUAAAUGAUUUGUUUAAGACAGGAUAAGCAAGAUAAAGAAUGUACAUGUAGUUGUAUUGGUGUGUCAAAGUGUAAAUGUCUAAAUGAACUUGAGAAAGAAGCGAGUCAAUACAGACAUGCAUAGUACUAGUUGAGCACUUAUGUAACAAAAAUCAU
ensembl:lncRNA